UAGAGGCUGAGGUGCAGAUAAGGUUUGAUUGUAAAUGAGUUGUAUACCAUAGUGUGGUGAAAAUGUUAUAUUUGGAAGAGGUAGACAUUUAGGAAGCUAGUGGAUGGAUAGCAAGAACUGUUACAGAGGCUGAGAUGCAGAUAAGGUUUGAUUAUCCUGCUUCUAAGAUUCCUUUUCAUAAUUGUCUUGACAUUUCGCUCAAAACAUGAAACCAACAUGCCAGCAGGUUUUGAGCUUUGAAUUAUGUUACAAGAAAAUAUAAGGAAACCAGAUAGCAUAGGGUGGGAACUGGGUAAUUUUUGGGGUAAAUAAAAAGACCCUGGUAUUUAGCCCAUAAUUUCAUCAUUUUAA
rnacentral:misc_RNA from 1 species